UAAAUCACAAUUGGCAUUAUUACGUACAUAAGCUCUUUUCUAGGAACAUCGAUGGUGUGACGUCACAGAAGCAGUGAUGACGUAACAGAAGAACCUGCUUCAACAUGGGUAUGUGACGUCACAGAAGAUCUUGACAAUGGUUCCAGAACAAAAAGAAUGAAAGACGGAAAAAAGACGAGAAAAAAAGCGCAAGACGAAGAACAAAGACGAAGACGCCAAUAUAAGGAUCCCGGUUUGAGGUGUUUGUAGGUUUAAGUGUGUAUAGGUUUAUUUAUGCGGCGGUAUACGCGCGAAGAAAGAAGAUCAAAGAUGACGUACGAUGUGACGUCAAGUACACUGAUGACGUAACAGAAGAACCUGCUUAAACGUGUGAUAUGACGUCACGAAGUAUUGACGACGUAACUGAAGAACCGGAUUCAAUAUCGGUUUAUGACGUAACAUAGAAGGUGAUGCAUCUUGGACGUAAGAAGAUGAUUAUGACGUAACAGACGAAGAACAAACACGAAAACGCCAAUAUAAGGAUGCCGGUUUGAGGUGCUUAUAUAAAUAAAUUUUAAGUAUGA